CCUACGGGUGGCUGCAGUGGGGAAUAUUGGACAAUGGGGGGAACCCUGAUCCAGCCAUGCCGCGUGUGUGAAGAAGGCCCUCGGGUUGUAAAGCACUUUCAGUGAGGAAGAACGCCUGGUGGUUAAUACCCAUCAGGAAAGACAUCACUCACAGAAGAAGCACCGGCUAACUCCGUGCCAGCAGCCGCGGUAAUACGGAGGGUGCGAGCGUUAAUCGGAAUUACUGGGCGUAAAGCGCGCGUAGGUGGCUUGAUAAGCCGGUUGUGAAAGCCCCGGGCUCAACCUGGGAACGGCAUCCGGAACUGUCAAGCUAGAGUGCAGGAGAGGAAGGUAGAAUUCCCGGUGUAGCGGUGAAAUGCGUAGAGAUCGGGAGGAAUACCAGUGGCGAAGGCGGCCUUCUGGACUGACACUGACACUGAGGUGCGAAAGCGUGGGUAACAAACAGGAUUAGAUACCCCAGUAGUC
rnacentral:rRNA from 1 species